AAAAAAAUGCAGUGUGAGGAUGCAGAGAAAUGGUGACUUUCAUAGGCUAUUUUUGAGCAUAGGAAACUGGUAUGACCUUUAGGAGGGUAGUUUCUCAAGAUCUACUAACAUUUUAAAUGGAUACAGAAAUUAAAUGCUGAGGUAGGGGAAUUUAUCCUAACAGUUUACAAUCACUUGCACGUAAACCCUACUUACUCAUUGUCACAGGAAUACUGUGUUUGGUUUAAAAAAUUAAAUGAAGUUUGCACACAGCCUAAAUGCCCAUUGGAAGAGGAAUUGGUUAAAUACAAUACCAAGGUCAUUCAUAUAUUCAUACAAUUCUUAUUGUGCAGCCCUGGGAAGAAUGGGCUAGUCUCUACAUGGUGUUAAGUUAUCAUGUUUAAGAGAUAUUCUGAUGGAAAAGAACAAGACGAACUAAAACACAUGAAAUACACUUUAUUAUGUAAAAUAAGAAAUAUUUGUAUUGGCAAAUUUACUUCUGGAAGGAUUAUCCUCAAGAAAUAAAGCAAUUGCCUUUGCGGUAGCGAGAAGAUGUCUUUCUCCUAUUUUUAACUCUUCAUUCACUGUUAACUUUACUGUUUGUUUGGUUUUGUGUUUACAGCAUGCUUGCGGGCACUUUGCGUGUCCUCAGUUACUGGAAGAUGGUUUGGCUGCGGCCUCAGACAAACACUUGAGGCACAGAUGUAUACGCAGGUCUGCCACCAGAAGAGGCAUGCUGACUUGGCUUGCCCCAACCUCUCACCCCUGCUGAGGAGGCCUUUUCCUAAGCAUUGCAGAUGGGUUCAUUUGUUCCCACCGCAAGCUCCUAGAAUGCUUUGUACUUCCCACCCCUUUCCUCUCCAGGGAGCUCUGCAAGUCCCCAGAAAUACUUGCCUAACCACAGGCACCCUUGGAAAGGUCCAGCUGCUGACUGCCAGCACCAUGUGACUCCCAGUGCCAGUGACAUCUGGAGGAAUUGAGCAAUGGCUGAGGUGGAAUUUCAUUUGGCACUUAAUGGAAUCCUCUGCUUCUGCCAGAGGCGGUGAAUUCUAUAUAAAGCUGCCAAACCUGGCCGUGUCUCCUCACUGAGCCUUGAUCCCUUCCAUCCAAGGGUAAGGUAAAUGAAUUGCUGUGCAUGACUCACGAGCAGUAACUGUGGUUUUGGGGCCUAGCCCACCUGAGCAGAGCAAGCCUGCCUGGCGGAAGUGGGUCCUCUCCACUCUAACCUCUGGAUCUGAUGAGCAGCUACAUAAACUGAGACAGGAUAUAGACACAUCCUGCCUGAGUUGGUAGCAAGAAAUAGCUGCCUCCCCCCACCCUCCUGCAGUUCCAGCACAGCAGGAAUCCUGCCAUAAAUCAAUCUGAAGCCUAAUGUGGAAUAGCACGCCAGCCACCGCUGUUUGUCUCCCAAGGGAAGAAACUGCCCAUGGGAAAUCGCCCUCCAAAUCCUCAGUGCUGGUCCCUUAUUGGGAGCCAAGUUGGAGGUCCCCUGCUGCUGUUGCUGUCUCCUGGGUGAGCCCCUACAGACUGGAUGGGUAGAUGUUACUUGGGCCCUUUACUGAAAGAUUUUGCCCCUCAUCACAGUAACACGUGUUCUUUGUGCAAAAAGAAAAACAAUUAAAU